rnacentral:lncRNA from 1 species
UUCUUGGUGAACAGGGAAAAAAUACUUCAGAAAUUAAAGAAAUGUCAAAGUACAAGUGAUAAAUCAAGCUUUAAUAUUGUCAAAACCUACUAUUUUAUGUUUACAAAAAAAAAUUAUAAUCGCUCGCCUUUACUUUUCAAGCUUCGCCUCAAAAAUUUGCAAAUUAAAUAUUUUUUUAUUAAAAUUUUCAAAUCGCUCGCUCGCCCCAAAUUUUGGAGUCCAAAAAUCCGUAGAACAAGAAAUUAAAUUGGUGUGGCCUAAAAGGUUGAUUUUUUUAAACCUUAAAUAUUGUUCGUAUCGAAAUUUUAAUUUUUUAGUUUUUGUUAAGUUAUAGAAUACUUUUAACAUACCUGUCAACUGACCCGGAUUCUGCGGGUGUGACCCGAGAUUUUCUCAAUUUUGAGGGAUCACCCGGAACACCCGCCGGGUCAUUGAAAUAACCCGGGAAUUCCGAAAAUGACCCGAUUUCACCCGUAUUUCUUAGCCUUGAGAUUGAUUGCAUAAGUAAUAUUCCUUUGAAAUACCGGCAAAUUCGUAAUUCUUCCAUUAACAGGAAGUUCAUCUAGCUAUGUAAACUGUAAACUGUCAAAUGAAGUGACCCAUUAAGUACAUGGCUUCACUUGACAGCUUUGGUGUCAAACACACUGUUAAUUAACACCAAUUACCUUAGCUUUAGGUCGUAAAUAAAUUGCAAUUUUGG